rnacentral:rRNA from 1 species
GAACGCUGGCGGCGUGCUUAACACAUGCAAGUCGAACGGAAAGGCCCUGCUUUUGUGGGGUGCUCGAGUGGCGAACGGGUGAGUAACACGUGAGUAACCUGCCCUUGACUUUGGGAUAACUUCAGGAAACUGGGGCUAAUACCGGAUAGGAGCUCCUGCUGCAUGGUGGGGGUUGGAAAGUUUCGGCGGUUGGGGAUGGACUCGCGGCUUAUCAGCUUGUUGGUGGGGUAGUGGCUUACCAAGGCUUUGACGGGUAGCCGGCCUGAGAGGGUGACCGGCCACAUUGGGACUGAGAUACGGCCCAGACUCCUACGGGAGGCAGCAGUGGGGAAUAUUGCACAAUGGGCGGAAGCCUGAUGCAGCAACGCCGCGUGCGGGAUGACGGCCUUCGGGUUGUAAACCGCUUUCGCCUGUGACGAAGCGUGAGUGACGGUAAUGGGUAAAGAAGCACCGGCUAACUACGUGCCAGCAGCCGCGGUGAUACGUAGGGUGCGAGCGUUGUCCGGAUUUAUUGGGCGUAAAGGGCUCGUAGGUGGUUGAUCGCGUCGGAAGUGUAAUCUUGGGCUUAACCCUGAGCGUGCUUUCGAUACGGGUUGACUUGAGGAAGGUAGGGGAGAAUGGAAUUCCUGGUGGAGCGGUGGAAUGCGCAGAUAUCAGGAGGAACACCAGUGGCGAAGGCGGUUCUCUGGGCCUUUCCUGACGCUGAGGAGCGAAAGCGUGGGGAGCGAACAGGCUUAGAUACCCUGGUAGUCCACGCUGUAAACGGUGGGUACUAGGUGUGGGGUCCAUUCCACGGGUUCCGUGCCGUAGCUAACGCUUUAAGUACCCCGCCUGGGGAGUACGGCCGCAAGGCUAAAACUCAAAGGAAUUGACGGGGCCCCGCACAAGCGGCGGAGCAUGCGGAUUAAUUCGAUGCAACGCGUAGAACCUUACCUGGGUUUGACAUGGAUCGGGAGUGCUCAGAGAUGGGUGUGCCUCUUUUGGGGUCGGUUCACAGGUGGUGCAUGGCUGUCGUCAGCUCGUGUCGUGAGAUGUUGGGUUAAGUCCCGCAACGAGCGCAACCCUUGUUCACUGUUGCCAGCACGUUAUGGUGGGGACUCAGUGGAGACCGCCGGGGUCAACUCGGAGGAAGGUGGGGAUGACGUCAAGUCAUCAUGCCCCUUAUGUCCAGGGCUUCACGCAUGCUACAAUGGCUGGUACAGAGAGUGGCGAGCCUGUGAGGGUGAGCGAAUCUCGGAAAGCCGGUCUCAGUUCGGAUUGGGGUCUGCAACUCGACCUCAUGAAGUCGGAGUCGCUAGUAAUCGCAGAUCAGCAACGCUGCGGUGAAUACGUUCCCGGGGCUUGUACACACCGCCCGUCAAGUCAUGAAAGUUGGUAACACCCGAAGCCGGUGGCCUAACCGUUGUGGGGGAGCCGUCGAAGGUGGGACUGGUGAUUAGGAC